AUGGUGUGGCGAGUUGGCAAUGGCGACAAUAUUAGGAUCUGGCAGGACCCAUGGCUACCUUCUGGUGCGGUCAGGUACCCAAGAACGAGGAGGGGAAGCACCCUGUUGACUAGGGUUGCUGAGUUGAUUGAUCCAUACACUAACUCUUGGGAUACUCAGCUGGUUAGGCAAACUUUCUGUCAGGAGGAUGCAAAUGUGAUCUUGUCGAUUCCGAUCUUUGAACAUCAUGACGACUUCGUGGCAUGGCAGUUUGACAGGAAGGGGUUAUUCUCUGUCCGCUCAGCGUAUAGGAUUUACGUCGACCUUCUUCGGCGCCAAUGCCAGCGGCAAACUGGUGAAUGCUCGUCAGGGCGGGAGGAGGAUAAGAAAAUAUUGGCUCACAAUAGUCACCCUUUGCUGCGAAACGUGGAGCACAUUGGAGUUGAGCUGGACACAAGUUGCGUGGUGUGCCAUCGACUGCCGGAGGACGGAGGGCACUUGUUUCUGCGCUGCAAAAAGGUAAAGAAAAUGUGGAGAGCUUGUGGUCUGAAGGGUGUUCGUCAAAGCCUGCUUGAAUGCCAAACAUCUCGCCGGCUGCUGGAGGAGCUCUUUCGUAUACCCAAGGAUGAAAAUCUAAAAGCAAUUUGCCUCCUGUGGUUGUGGUGGACAGAGAGGAACAAAACGAAUCAUAACCAAAACAGAGCAUCAGUGGAGGAGUUUCAGUCCCAAGAGUGCAGAGGAUUUAGAAAUGGGUCUAAGCCAGCUCUGGAUGUGGUUAAAAUCAACAUUGAUGCAGCUUUUAGGGGCCUGUCACAACCUGGUGGCUGGGGGUGCAUUGCUCGGGACCAUGCUGGAGACAUCCUCUUCGCUGUCGCCGAGUGCUGGAAAACAUGUACGAUGCUCUUCAUGCUGAAGCUUCUGCCCUGCUGCGUGCUGUCCGGUUUGCUGAAGAUCAUGUGCAUGGGCCGUGUUGUUUUUCAGACUGAUUGCUUGGCUCUUGUGCAGGCCAUCAAUUCUGGAACUCCUGAUCGAUCCUUGCUGGGUGUCAUCUUUCGCGAGCUCAAAUACCUGCUCCGUUUCGGUUUUAUUAAGUGGAAUGACUACCACUGUCCACGCGCCUGUAAUGUCCCAGCCCAUGAACUGGCUGCUUUAGGCUGUAGUGGUGCCUAUGGGAACCAAUGUGUUUGGCUUUCAAACCUCCCUGACAAUGUAAUGUGUGUUGUGACCACCGAUCUGGUUGGUCCUGGGUAA
rnacentral:rRNA from 1 species